UUACGGUCAUAUCACAUUGAAACACCGGCUCUCUUGCGAUCACCGGUUAAGCUACGUCGAGGCUGGUCGGUACCUACAUGGGUGACCACUUUGGAAUACCAGGUGCUGUAAG